GACGAACGCUGGCGGCGUGCCUAAUACAUGCAAGUUGAGCGAUGAAGCUUGGUGCUUGCACCAAUUUGAAGAGCAGCGAACGGGUGAGUAACGCGUGGUGAAUCUGCCUUUGAUCGGGGGACAACAUUUGGAAACGAAUGCUAAUACCGCAUAACAACUUUAAACAUAAGUUUUAAGUUUGAAAGAUGCAAUUGCAUCACUCAAAGAUGAUCCCGCGUUGUAUUAGCUAGUUGGUGAGGUAAAGGCUCACCAAGGCGAUGAUACAUAGCCGACCUGAGAGGGUGAUCGGCCAACUUGGGACUGAGACACGGCCCAAACUCCUACGGGAGGCAGCAGUAGGGAAUCUUCGGCAAUGGACGAAAGUCUGAACGAGGAACGACGGGUGAGUGAAGAAGGUUUUCGGAUCGUAAAACUCUGUUGGUAGAGAAGAAAGUUGGUGAGAGUGGAAAGCUCAUCAAGUGACGGUAACUACACAGAAAGGGACGGCUAACUACGUG
rnacentral:rRNA from 1 species